rnacentral:rRNA from 1 species
UACGGAGGAUGCAAGCGUUAUCCGGAAUCAUUGGGCGUAAAGCGUCCGUAGGUGGCGUUUCAAGUCUGCUGUCAAAGCACAAGGCUUAACCUUGUAAAGGCAGUGGAAACUGAAAGAGCUAGAGUGCGGUAGGGGUAGAGGGAAUUCCCAGUGUAGAGGUGAAAUGCGUAGAGAUUGGGAAGAACACCGGUGGCGAAAGCGCUCUACUGGGCCUGCACUGACACUGAGGGACGAAAGCUAGGGGAGCGAAAGGG